rnacentral:rRNA from 1 species
UGGGGAAUAUUGCACAAUGGGCGCAAGCCUGAUGCAGCGACGCCGCGUGAGGGAUGACGGCCUUCGGGUUGUAAACCUCUUUCAAUAGGGACGAAGCGCAAGUGACGGUACCUAUAGAAGAAGGACCGGCCAACUACGUGCCAGCAGCCGCGGUAAUACGUAGGGUCCGAGCGUUGUCCGGAAUUACUGGGCGUAAAGAGCUCGUAGGUGGUUUGUCGCGUUGUUCGUGAAAACUCACAGCUUAACUGUGGGCGUGCGGGCGAUACGGGCAGACUAGAGUACUGCAGGGGAGACUGGAAUUCCUGGUGUAGCGGUGGAAUGCGCAGAUAUCAGGAGGAACACCGGUGGCGAAGGCGGGUCUCUGGGCAGUAACUGACGCUGAGGAGCGAAAGCGUGGGGAGCGAACAGGAUUAGAUACCCUGGUAGUCCACGCCGUAAACGGUGGGUACUAGGUGUGGGUUUCCUUCCUUGGGGAUCCGUGCCGUAGCUAACGCAUUAAGUACCCCGCCUGGGGAGUACGGCCGCAAGGCUAAAACUUAAAUGAAUUGACGGGGUCAUAGCUGUUUCCU